rnacentral:rRNA from 1 species
CUAAGAAUAUUCCGCAAUGGACGGAAGUCUGACGGAGCGACGCCGCGUGGAUGAAGAAGGCCGAAAGGUUGUAAAGUUCUUUUGCUGGGGAAGAAUAACCGCAGGAGGGAAUGCCUGUGGGAUGACAAGAACCGGCGAAUAAGCCUCGGCCAACUACGUGCCAGCAGCCGCGGUAACACGUAGGGGGCGAGCGUUGUUCGGAAUUACUGGGCGUAAAGGGCAUGUAGGCGGCUUGGAAAGCCUGGCGUGAAAGUCUGCAGCUUAACUGCAGGGGUGCGCUGGGAACUGCUGAGCUUGAGUGACGGAGAGGGAGCUGGAAUUCCUGGUGUAGGGGUGAAAUCUGUAGAUAUCAGGAAGAACACCGAUGGCGAAGGCAAGCUCCUGGCCGAUGACUGACGCUGAGGUGCGAAAGUGUGGGGAUCAAACA